rnacentral:rRNA from 1 species
GAUGAACGCUGGCGGCGUGCCUAAUACAUGCCAGUCGAGCGAACAGAUGAGGAGCUUGCUCCUCUGACGUUAGCGGCGGACGGGUGAGUAACACGUGGAUAACCUACCUAUAAGACUGGGAUAACUUCGGGAAACCGGAGCUAAUACCGGAUAAUAUAUUGAACCGCAUGGUUCAAUAGUGAAAGACGGUUUUGCUGUCACUUAUAGAUGGAUCCGCGCCGCAUUAGCUAGUUGGUAAGGUAACGGCUUACCAAGGCAACGAUGCGUAGCCGACCUGAGAGGGUGAUCGGCCACACUGGAACUGAGACACGGUCCAGACUCCUACGGGAGGCAGCAGUAGGGAACCUUCCGCAAUGGGCGAAAGCCUGACGGAGCAACGCCGCGUGAGUGAUGAAGGUCUUCGGAUCGUAAAACUCUGUUAUUAGGGAAGAACAAAUGUGUAAGUAACUAUGCACGUCUUGACGGUACCUAAUCAGAAAGCCACGGCUAACUACGUG